rnacentral:rRNA from 1 species
AUUGAACGCUGGCGGCAGGCCUAACACAUGCAAGUCGAACGGUAGCACAGAGAGCUUGCUCUCGGGUGACGAGUGGCGGACGGGUGAGUAACGUCUGGGAAACUGCCCGAUGGAGGGGGAUAACUACUGGAAACGGUAGCUAAUACCGCAUAACGUCGCAAGACCAAAGUGGGGGACCUUCGGGCCUCACACCAUCGGAUGCGCCCAGAUGGGAUUAGUUAGUAGGUGGGGUAAUGGCUCACCUAGGCGUCGAUCCCUAGCUGGUCUGAGAGGAUGACCAGCCACACCGGAACUGAGACACGGUCCAGACUCCUACGGGAGGCAGCAGUGGGGAAUAUUGCACAAUGGGCGCAAGCCUGAUGCAGCCAUGCCGCGUGUAUGAAGAAGGCCUUCGGGUUGUAAAGUACUUUCAGCGGGGAGGAAGGCGGUGAAGUUAAUAACUUCACCGAUUGAUGUUACCCGCAGAAGAAGCACCGGCUAACACCGUGCCAGCCGCCGCCGUAA